rnacentral:misc_RNA from 1 species
GAUGAAGAACGCAGCGAAAUGCGAUAAGUAAUGUGAAUUGCAGAAUUCAGUGAAUCAUCGAAUCUUUGAACGCACAUUGCGCCCUCUGGUAUUCCGGGGGGCAUGCCUGUUCGAGCGUCAUUAUAACCACUCAAGCUCUCGCUUGGUAUUGGGGCUCGCGGUUCCGCGGCCCCUAAAAUCAGUGGCGGUGCCUGUCGGCUCUACGCGUAGUAAUACUCCUCGCGAUUGAGUCCGGUAGGUCUACUUGCCAGCAACCCCCAAUUUUUACAGGUUGACCUCGGAUCAGGUAGGGAUACCCGCUGAACUUAAGCAUAUCAAUAAGCGGAGGA